ACCUUUCUAUCAUUUUUGGAUCCUUAUUUGGAGUUUUUUUCUGCAUAUGUGCAGGAUUAAUGAUAUAUAUUUUUCACUACAAGUUUUCAACCAAAUCUAGAAAUAAUGUCGAGAAAAAUGGCAAAAAUGGAGAUUACGUCAUGCAGUGUGUUUCUGAUUUGGACGAUCACAAAUAUCAUUGUAUUGAUAGAGACGCUACAAG